GGAUUGUGGCUCAGAGGUAGAGCACUUGCCUAGCACGCGUGAGGCACUCAGUUCGAUCCUCAGCACCA
rnacentral:tRNA from 1 species